AACACCCCGUGGCAUUGUGGGAGUUCCAAGCUACGUUUCUAGAUGACGUAACGUAACACCCCCUCAUCGAUAUACCAGGCUAUUAGCGGCAAGAUACCCAUGUCCUCUCCCCGUACAAUACCGUGUAGCUUACGUUACGGGCUUCAUUUGGGCCGUCCUUUAUCAAGCGUAAGACUUAUGUGGGAUUAGGAUGAUGUUACUUUUGAAGGACGCCAAGAACCAGCAGAUUGUCACAAACCUGUGGGUGAGACUGUACUGGCAGGAUGAGAAUCUGCUAUGGAAUGAGACCCAGUAUGGAGGUGCCUCAAGUAUCCGGAUUCCCAGCGCGGAAAUAUGGACUCCAGACAUUGUUCUG